GACGAACGUUGGCGGCGUGCUUAACACAUGCAAGUCGAACGGAAAGGCCCUGCUUUUGUGGGGUGCUCGAGUGGCGAACGGGUGAGUAACACGUGAGUAACCUGCCCUUGACUUUGGGAUAACUUCAGGAAACUGGGGCUAAUACCGGAUAGGAGCUCCUGCUGCAUGGUGGGGGUUGGAAAGUUUCGGCGGUUGGGGAUGGACUCGCGGCUUAUCAGCUUGUUGGUGGGGUAGUGGCUUACCAAGGCUUUGACGGGUAGCCGGCCUGAGAGGGUGACCGGCCACAUUGGGACUGAGAUACGGCCCAGACUCCUACGGGAGGCAGCAGUGGGGAAUAUUGCACAAUGGGCGGAAGCCUGAUGCAGCAACGCCGCGUGCGGGAUGACGGCCUUCGGGUUGUAAACCGCUUUCGCCUGUGACGAAGCGUGAGUGACGGUAAUGGGUAAAGAAGCACCGGCUAACUACGUGCCAGCAGCCGCGGUGAUACGUAGGGUGCGAGCGUUGUCCGGAUUUAUUGGGCGUAAAGGGCUCGUAGGUGGUUGAUCGCGUCGGAAGUGUAAUCUUGGGGCUUAACCCUGAGCGUGCUUUCGAUACGGGUUGACUUGAGGAAGGUAGGGGAGAAUGGAAUUCCUGGUGGAGCGGUGGAAUGCGCAGAUAUCAGGAGGAACACCAGUGGCGAAGGCGGUUCUCUGGGCCUUUCCUGACGCUGAGGAGCGAAAGCGUGGGGAGCGAACAGGCUUAGAUACCCUGGUAGUCCACGCUGUAAACGGUGGGUACUAGGUGUGGGGUCCAUUCCACGGGUUCCGUGCCGUAGCUAACGCUUUAAGUACCCCGCCUGGGGAGUACGGCCGCAAGGCUAAAACUCAAAGGAAUUGACGGGGCCCCGCACAAGCGGCGGAGCAUGCGGAUUAAUUCGAUGCAACGCGUAGAACCUUACCUGGGUUUGACAUGGAUCGGGAGUGCUCAGAGAUGGGUGUGCCUCUUUUGGGGUCGGUUCACAGGUGGUGCAUGCCUGUCGUCAGCUCGUGUCGUGAGAUGUUGGGUUAAGUCCCGCAACGAGCGCAACCCUUGUUCACUGUUGCCAGCACGUUAUGGUGGGGACUCAGUGGAGACCGCCGGGGUCGACUCGGAGGAAGGUGGGGAUGACGUCAAGUCCUCAUGCCCCUUAUGUCCAGGGCUUCACGCAUGCUACAAUGGCUGGUACAGAGAGUGGCGAGCCUGUGAGGGUGAGCGAAUCUCGGAAAGCCGGUCUCAGUUCGGAUUGGGGUCUGCAACUCGACCUCAUGAAGUCGGAGUCGCUAGUAAUCGCAAAUCAGCAACGCUGCGGUGAAUACGUUCCCGGG
rnacentral:rRNA from 1 species